GAGCAAUCCAUAAUCAUGAGGGUUAUUGGCUACUCCUAAUUUUUGUACCAUUCAACAAUACUACAAGGAAUUGCUUGCCCUCUUUCAUGGAUUACAAAUUACUAUUACCAAUAAUUUGCUAUCGCUCAUAGUGGAAACUGAUUUGUAGGUACUUCUUACACUACUACCACAAGGUAUUUCAAAAUACUCACAUCUAUUUCAUGUUUGUAGGUUGAUAUUGCAUGACUUACGCAUACCACAACUCAACCACACUUACAGGAAAGGUAAUACUGUUGCGCAUGCACUGGCGCAUUUUGGCAAGGAGCUUAGUCUUACAGAGCCUGCUGAUAUUCUAAUUUUUGAUACCCCACCCUUUAUUUUGCCGUAGCUACUUUUGGAUUCGCGGGGUACUAACCCUUCUUGUAGUAACUAUGUUCUGAACAAAUAAAAUCGUUGUUAUUCGCAAAAAGAAAAAGAAAAAGAAAAAAGACAAGCCUA
rnacentral:lncRNA from 1 species